rnacentral:lncRNA from 1 species
GGGACCCCACUGUGUUUUUUACUUGCAUCUCCCUAAUGGCCAAUGCUGUUGAAUACCUUUCAUAAGCUGGUUAUUUUGUGGUUCUUUCAAGGAGACAGAGUCACAGAUCCUGAGCACACUCUUCGGAUUCAUCUGUGCAGAGGGCAACUCAUGAAGUCCAAGCUGCUCCCAAAGUCAAGAAGCACUGGCCAAAGCCUGCUGGGGCUUGAAAGCUUGACGUGACCGCCUGACAUCAGAAAGUAUAUAGGUUCUCCUCUGGCCCCAGAAAAUGGAGGUGCGAGGCUAAAGGCCUAUUGUUCUGGGCCAUAUGGAAGAAAAGUGAGCUAUUCUGAAGACAGAUGACUUCAGACAAAACACUAAAGGAUGGUGAAUUAACAAAAAGCCCAAGGAAGAAAAAAAAAACUCAAAAUUCACCAGGAAUAGGUAAAGAACAUGCUGUGCCUAUCAGCACUGGGAUACUACUGAGCCACCAGGAGUACACACAAGAGUGAGGUAAAUCUAAAAGACAGUCAUCUUUGUAUUGGUUACUCUCACUGUUCCCAAAA